CCUUGACCCUCCUGAGCUUCAGUUUCUCCCUUAUAAAACAGGGAUAAUAACGGCACCUACUUCCCAGGGCUGCCGGACUAAUCCCAUGAGAUCAGGCUUAUAAAAUCUUUGUCGGGAUGCUGGUACACACUACGAGCUGAUUAGUGAGAAGCAAAUGCCUUGCUGUGGCCUUCGAGGCCCUUGUUGAUCAGCCCGAAGAUGAGCUCAUUGGGCCCUCCCCCCACCAAGAGUCUCACCUCGCUGGGCAGCUCCCUCCUGCCAGGGCUCCCUCUUUCUGCCCUUUCUCUAACCUUCCUCCAGGUCCCAGAGCCAGUGACAGUGACGCCUCUUCCCUGCCACCACCUCAUGAAGCCUUCUCAGAUUUCUCCUGACCUCUCUCCUGCCCUCAGAGGCAGGACCCCACUUCGCGGCAUUCCUCAUUGUUCUCCUGGGUGAGGAAACUGAGGCACAGAGAGGCUAAAAAACCUGCCUGAGGCCGCAGAGUCGUGAAGUGAGAAGGGAAUAUGCUGGAACUCCAAAGGCCCAUGCUCCUCACCUCACCACUUCCCAGUCAACAUCCCCAAUGCUGAGACUCACCCAAAGACUGAAUCCAGCAUUGCCAGCCGCCUUCUCUCAGACGCCCAGCGCGGGCACACAGCUCCAGUCACGAGGGUCUGAAUGGAGCAAGGGAAGCAGAGCUUCAACUUGAGAGUGGCUUGACCUUAGCGCCAUACCUGGGGACCCGGUCCCUUCUCCAUCAAUGAAUGAUUGCUAUCUCCUAGAUGCCUUUCCUGGAUUAGCUCAGUGAAUCCUGCACCCUCUGUGGGGGCUGCCUUUUGUCUACUCUGCCUCCUCCCAUCACCUGCUGGCCGUCAGGGCACCUGAAGCCUUGUCAUUGAUUUGGUCCCUCUGUGACACACCUCUCUGGGCUUCUUUGUGCGGGGCUAGAGUUUCUCUCAUGGGAUGGUCUGGGUGGAGGGAGUUCACAUAAACAGAAGCAGAGCCAAGAGAGGCCCAGGGAAAAUAAAGGCUAUUAUAGGGUUCCUGGCUGCCGGCCAGUGAGUGGACCCCGGCCCUUUGCACACACUAGCAGCCCAGCCUUGUGCUCAGCACCUCCCUCACUGGAUUUUUUUACCUCUCUUACUGUCCUGCGAGGAUGCGCCAGGAAAGCUGGCAGCACUGGGCCAGAAAAUGCCUUAUGGGCCAGGCAUUGACCUAAACUCUCACCAACAGGCCUCAUUCUAUGGAAUCCUUGAAAGAGCUCUAGGAGUCAAGUUCCAAGGCUCCUGUUUUGUAGACUAGGACAACAAGCCUCAUGGAGAUCAAGCACCACCAGCUGAACCACCAGGAGAUGUGUGGCCUUGGGCACAGCCUGGCACAAAAGAAUACUCAUGAAAUGGUGGUUCCUGGGCCGGCCGAGUGGUUUAGUUGGUUAAGAGUGCAAGCUCUGAGCCGCACAGUCGCAGGUUCGAUU